rnacentral:rRNA from 1 species
AGAGUUUGAUCCUGGCUCAGGACGAACGCUGGCGGCGUGCCUAAUACAUGCAAGUCGAGCGGAUCUUCUCCUUCGGGAGAAGGUUAGCGGCGGACGGGUGAGUAACACGUAGGCAACCUGCCUGCAAGACCGGGAUAACAUUCGGAAACGAAUGCUAAAACCGGAUACGCAAGUCUGGGGCAUCUCGGACUUGGGAAAGA